UACAGAGGUCUCAAGCGUUGUUCGGAUUCAUUGGGCGUAAAGGGUGCGUAGGCGGCGCGGUAAGUCGGGUGUGAAAUUUCGAGGCUUAACUUCGAAACUGCAUUCGAUACUGCCGUGCUUGAGGACUGGAGAGGAGACUGGAAUUUACGGUGUAGCGGUGAAAUGCGUAGAUAUCCGGAGGAACACCGGUGGCGAAGGCGGCUUCCUGGACCGACACUGACGCUGAGGCGCGAAAGCUAGGGGAGCGAACAGG
rnacentral:rRNA from 1 species